GCUUGACUCUAGUCUGGCACGGU
rnacentral:piRNA from 3 species